rnacentral:rRNA from 1 species
CCUACGGGAGGCAGCAGUGAGGAAUAUUGGUCAAUGGACGAGAGUCUGAACCAGCCAAGUAGCGUGAAGGAUGACUGCCCUAUGGGUUGUAAACUUCUUUUAUAUGGGAAUAAAAUGUUCCACGUGUGGGAUUUUGUAUGUACCAUAUGAAUAAGGAUCGGCUAACUCCGUGCCAGCAGCCGCGGUAAUACGGAGGAUCCGAGCGUUAUCCGGAUUUAUUGGGUUUAAAGGGAGCGUAGGUGGUUUGUUAAGUCAGUUGUGAAAGUUUGCGGCUCAACCGUAAAAGUGCAGUUGAAACUGGCAGUCUUGAGUACAGGACAGGUGGGCGGAAUUCGUGGUGUAGCGGUGAAAUGCUUAGAUAUCACGAAGAACUCCGAUUGCGAAGGCAGUUCACUGGACUGCAACUGACACUGAGGCACGAAAGUGUGGGUAUCAAACAGGAUUAGAUACCCGUGUAGUC